AUUCCAGCUCCAAUAGCGUAUAUUAAAGUUGUUGCAGUUAAAAAGCUCGUAGUUGGAUUUCUGGCUGGAGCGAUCGGUCCGCCCCGCAAGGGGUGUGUACUAGCGUCGUCUCCGACCAUCCUUGUGGGAACUGUGCGGCCGUUAACUCGGUUGUAUAUGGGAACACAUCGUUUACUGUGAAAAAAUUAGAGUGUUUAAAGCAGGCUUAAGCCGUUGAAUACAUUAGCAUGGAAUAAUAAGAUAAGACUUGGGUCAUUAUUUUGUUGGUUUGCGGAUCGAGGUAAUGAUUAAUAGGGAUAGUUGGGGGUAUUCAUAUUUAAUUGUCAGAGGUGAAAUUCUUGGAUUUAUGAAAGAUGAACUUAGGCGAAAGCAUUUACCAAGGAUGUUUUCAUUG
rnacentral:rRNA from 1 species